GACUGAAGUACUGCAUGUUCUUGAAUAUCAUCCUUUUUCAGGUAUCAGCCAACUGUUACAGGAUCUUAGGGAGAGGAACAUGCGAUUUGACAGAUCUGCUUCCCUGACAAGAAAAGUCAAGCUGUUUAGAGAUGAAGGACUUUAUCUGAGGCUUUCUAUGGGGCACCAAAAUACUUUAGUUCUGCACCAUCUUGGCCCUUCUCCUGCUUACUUCUCUCUGGAAUCUAGGAAAGCGGGGUAAGACUGCCAUAACCUACAUUUCCACACUUGAAGUUUAAAUCAGACCUACGCUCUUCUCUUUGUGUAACGUCACCUUAUCUUGAAGUGUAGUUCAAUGGGCAGAGCUGGAAUGCAUCAGAAUUGGGUUGAGUUUCCUACUGUGCCUAUGCUCCACAGAUAGUGCUAAAGAAAUCAUGUAGUCUGAAGACAUAAAAUAGGGAUAAUAAUAACUCCCUCCAUUAGAGGUAAGGGUCUCAGGAUAAGUACUGUAGAGGGUAUGAGUAGAUAUGUCACCAAGGAUGAAGCAUAUCAAAGCACAGAUAUGUAUUGUCAUCAGAAAGGGGAACAGAUUCAGAGACAAGAGCUUGAAAACUGCCUACCCAUGCUGUAGUCAUUAAAGCCAUCCUGAAGGCAGGCAGGGGAGAGGUAAAAAUUAGAUGUGCUCCUGAUGCUUUGGCUUUUUGUUCUUUCUGCAUUUGAAACAAGUUGUUGGAAGCUACAAAGCACCAGAAGGAGUGCUCCUUGCCCAGUAUGACCAGAACAAUCCUGCUCCAUG
ensembl:lncRNA